CACCUGUCUGUCAGCAGUCCGGAUGGUCCGUUCAGUCUCCGCCUCCUGCGUGAGGUCACUCAACUCUACCUUGUAGCAGCCGGCACGGGGUUCACGCCCAUGCUCGAGUGAUCCGAUUGGCCCUCCAGGACCUGGGCUCACUCAGGAAAACCAAGCUGAUGUUCUUCAACAGACAGGAAAGAGACAUCCUGUGGCACUCUGAACUUGAUGGCCUCGCAGCUGAAGAUGAGAGGUUCCAGGUGGAGUAUGUUCUGUCAGAGC